rnacentral:lncRNA from 1 species
CUUUCCUGAUAUGUUACUUUACUUUCUGGUCCUACAGAGCCCAGGGAAGGACUCAGGUCCUGUAUCUGUCAAGAAUGGUCUCUCUCCUCUUGUGACCUCAGCACACCGGACCCUGGCUGAAGCCCUACGGGCCCUGCCCUCUGCUGUAGGCUCUCCCUACCCAGUAAAUGUCCCAAGGCCUCUGACUCCUCUCAGCCCUGUCAUUAUCGCUCCGCCCCGAACAGAGAACUUCCCAUACCGCCACAGCCCUCGCCUGGCUCCCAUCACCAACCUGAGCGAGUCCGGCAGGAAGCUGCUCCAGGAAAUGGCUGGAGUGGCCCCACAGGUUUCUUCAGUGGCUGCUGCCCAAACUGAGAUGUUCAAAGAAAUAAUGGCCAACUAUUACUUCUACCACACACACACACACACACACACACACACACACACACACACACACACACACACACACACACACACACACACACACACACACACACACACAGAUUUUGAGUAUUGGUUAUUCCUACAACACACACAAACGUAAUUUCAGAGACAGGAAUUAUGAUUAGCAAAAUACAUAUAUUGGUCUCAUUCUUAUAUUUUGAGACAUGCAGCAAUAUAAAAAAAAAAAAACGAUAUUGGUCUCCAUCCAGCCUAUGAUAAUGAGUUGGAUUUACAUGCUUAGGCUUGGAAAUAUAUCCAGGAGAAGCAGGGUCAACACCUCUACUCAUGUCAUAAGUGCCAUGACAUCUUUAGUAACCACAGAGAGAUAAGACCUCUGUCUCCACAGUCUCAUCCAAAGAACAGCACCAACCUUAGGGCAGUGUCACUGGUAUCCUUGGGCCAAAGUGAAGAGGUGAGGGCCCCUUACUGGUCUCCUUGCAAUAUCUGGUCUCCCACACAGAGAUGGAAACCUACACCUGUUUAGACCCUGGAGGAUAUGGCUUCAGGUGAAAGACAGCAGAGAGAUGCAGAAUGUAGAAGCUUCAAACACUGUGAUAUGCAAAUUCAGGACCAUUGUACACUGAAGUGGAGCAUGCAUCUGGUCUGAAGCAUGUCAAAAGAGUGCAAAUGAACUGGGACUGGAGGACUGCAUCACAUUUAAACUAAAUUAGCAUGUAUCUGAUUUAGCUACACUCAUCUGUACUUGAAUUGUGCUGUUUGAAACGUGUAUUUCCAAUAAAGCUUUUUAAAUUGCAA